CAAAGGAAUUGACGGGACCGCACAAGCGGUGGAUGAUGUGGUUUAAUUCGAUGCAACGCGAAAACCUUACCCACCUUUGACAUGGCAGGAAUCCUGAAGAGAUUUGGGAGUGCUCGAAAGAGAACCUGCACACAGGUGCUGCAUGGCUGUCGUCAGCUCGUGUCGUGAGAUGUUGGGUUAAGUCCCGCAACGAGCGCAACCCUUGCCAUUAGUUGCUACGAAAGGGCACUCUAAUGGGACUGCCGGUGACAAACCGGAGGAAGGUGGGGAUGACGUCAAGUCCUCAUGGCCCUUAUAGGUGGGGCUACACACGUCAUACAAUGGCCGGUACAGAGGGUAGCCAACCCGCGAGGGGGAGCCAAUCCCACAAAGCCGGUCGUAGUCCGGAUCGCAGUCUGCAACUCGACUGCGUGAAGUCGGAAUCGCUAGUAAUCGCGGAUCAGCAUGUCGCGGUGAAUACGUUCCCGGGUCUU
rnacentral:rRNA from 1 species